GAGCAAAAGUGCUGACAGAAAGCCAUUUUUAGGUUUGAAAAGGUGAGUUCUGCAACGUGGUCGUACUAGUCCGACGAGUAGUAGCUCUAAUUGAACGUGUAAUUUGGGUGAGUUUCGCUUUUUGUUUUUU